GGGCCUCUGCCGGAGCGGCGUUGGGGCUGGGGCUCCCGUGCCUCUCUGCCUGCUCUGGCCCCGGGGUGGCAGUGCUGGCAGCAGCCAGGGCACGGCUCGGGAAGAGUCCCAGAGGAAGCAGGACCCCGCAACAAACCCCAGCUUAGCGAGGGCGGUGAAAGCAGCAGUGCUUCCAGUCUGCAUCAGAAUCCUACAGGAAAUGCAGCCUCAUGCCUGCAGUGGCCCAGGCCAGAGGCCAGGAGGUGUUAGAGAACACCUUCCUGCUUGGGUGGAGAAGACAGCUUGAGCCAAGGCCAGCCCGCCCACCCUGCAAAGGAGAGCCUCUAGAGGAUAAUUGAACAAGAAGAAAGCAUCCAGCUAAAAAGGAAAUAAAGAGAAAGACAAGGAAUUGUGGGCAAGGAGAGAAGAUUUACAUGCUGAAGUGUAAAACUGCAAUUAUGUAUUUCAUAUGUUUAUAUGACAUUCAUCGUGCCAAGUUAAGUGCUUUGGAAGGAUAAAUAUGACUUACUAGCAUCUGACUCAUGAUACCAAUGAAUAUUAAAGCCAAGAUGCAACAAACAGCCUAACUCAGUUAUUUGUGGCACAUUAAGAGAAAGUUGCAAUUCAUCACAACAGAUGACUGAAAAACAGUUCCUGCUAUAACUUUUUACAGUCACUAUAACUACCUCUGCUAGUAGCUUGUGUGAUUUCUCAAGAAAAUGUAUCUUAUAUGCUGAUUACUAAAGCAUUCUCUGCGUCAUACACUCACAUUCUGGUAAAAAAAAGGGACAUGUGUUUUUGGUUUAAUUUAUGAAACUUAAUCUUUACCAUUCCUUCCUAGUCAAUUGCUUGGGAAACUGGGCUUUAUAUUCCUCAAGUAGUUUUUCUGACAGUGGUAAAUCUUUGCCUACAGUAAACUGUUCAAAGCUGAAGAACCAUUAAACCAUUAAGAACCCCAUAAAAUGAAGAUGUAUGAUGGCCAUCCUGAAGAGGAUGUUUCAAAAUCAGGGGCCUAGGGGAACACAGCUGUUCUCCUCUGUCUUAGCCCUCUACUUUUGAUACCAAUGCAAUGCUAUGAAUAUAAUGUCAUGUGAAACUGAACUCAAUUUCUAAUUAUCUUCAGAUGCUGGUCAGUUGGAAAAGAUCAACAGAACUGAAGAAUUACAUUCUAAAUGUUGUUUCAAAUAUAAGUAGUUUAUUUUACCUAGGCCACUACUUGGCUUUAUCUAACAUUUUCCAGAAAUAUUUAAAAAAUAUUUCUGAAGGUGGCUUAAGACCAUUAAUUUUUCAACUGCAUACAUAAGGUAUAUUUCUACUCUUACUAAGAUUUUUUUUUCUUGCUGGCUACUUAGGAACUGUAAAUGCAUAAUGCUAUACCGUUACAAUUUAUGACUCUUGAUAAAUAAUUAUUUCCUAUUGGAAGCUGCAUUUUAAAGGGAAGGACUUGCUUAUAUUUUGGAUAAUGCAUAUUUUAAUAUUUUUUAAACUCUGUAUUACAAACCUGUAAUAAAAGAAAGCAAAACUAAAUGUUUGUCUGCAUACUAGCAGUUGGCAUUGUUGGCAUACCCUCCUAACUUCGUAGCUUUCAAUUAUUUACUCUGCCUCUCCUGUCACACCAAAUUGAAUUGAACAUGGAAUUUUAA